rnacentral:rRNA from 1 species
UACAUGGGGUGCAAACGUUGCUCGGAAUUAUUGGGCGUAAAGAGCUCGUAGGCGGUCUGUCGCGUCGGCUGUGAAAACCCGAGGCUCAACCUCGGGCCUGCAGUCGAUACGGGCAAACUAGAGUACUGCAGGGGAGACUGGAAUUCCUGGUGUAGCGGUGAAAUGCGCAGAUAUCAGGAGGAACACCGGUGGCGAAGGCGGGUCUCUGGGCAGUAACUGACGCUGGAGGAGCGAAAGCGUGGGGAGCGAACAGG